UAUCUCUGUAGAGUCUGCAUAUCAAUAAGCGGAGGAAAAGAAACUAACAAGGAUUCCCUUAGUAACGGCGAGUGAAGCGGGAAGAGCUCAAAUUUGAAAUCUUCAAGGUUCUACCUUGACGAAUUGUAGUUUAAAGAAGUGUUUUCUGUUAGAUGAGUAGCAAAAGUUCCUUGGAAUGGGACAUCAUAGAGGGUGAGAAUCCCGUAUUUGGUUAUUCAUUCUAGCUUUGUGAUACACUUUCAAAGAGUCGGAUUGUUUGGGAAUGCAGUCCAAAAUGGGUGGUAAAUUUCAUCUAAAGCUAAAUAUUGGCGAGAGACCGAUAGCGAACAAGUACCGUGAGGGAAAGAUGAAAAGAACUUUGAAAAGAGAGUUAAACAGUACGUGAAAUUGUCAAAAGGGAAGCGUUUGACACCAGUGUUGUUUUUCCGAAAAUCAAUUACGAAUGGCUUGAUUUUGUGUUGUAUUGACCUUAUCAGCUUUCUUCGCUUUUUUCGAGUCUUUCUUAAUGCACUUUUCGGUUAACAAGUCAACAUCAAUUUCUUUUGUUGUAAAAGAGUAUUCGGAAGGUGGCUUUCUUUUCGGAGAAAGUGUUUAUAGCCCUAUACUUCUACAAUCGGAGAGAUUGAGGUCUGCAGCGUAGAUCCUUCGGGGUUAGAUACACUUGUGCUAAGUUGUAGCUUUUCAUAGACAACUUGUUGACUAUGUUUAGUCAUGCGGCUUACUCGCUUGUGCUAUUUUACCUACGCUUAGGAUGUUGACUGAUAUGUAGUCGUA
rnacentral:rRNA from 1 species